rnacentral:rRNA from 1 species
CUGACACGGCGAGACCGCGGACGGCUCAUUAAAUCAGUCGUGGUCCAAAUGGGCCAGUGUUAACUUACUUGGAUAACUGUGGUAAUUCCAGAGCUAAUACAUGCAACUCAUAUCCUGAAGGCAGCGCUCUCUUGUAGGGCGUGUUCGCUCGACGGAUGCUUUUAUUAGACCAAACCGCUGAGGGCGUGCGUUGCUUCGGCUUCCGCGCUUGACUCGUUCGAUGGUGACUCUGGAUAACCUUUUUGACAAGCGCACGUACCCCUCUUUUGAGUGGGACGGCGCUGCCACUUUCGAGUGUCUGCCUUAUCAGCUAUCAACCGUUCGUUAUGUGCGACCGAUGGCUUUGACGGGUAACGGGGAAUCAGGGUUCGAUUCCGGAGAGGCAGCCUGAGAGACGGCUACCACGUCCAAGCUGCGGUUAAAAGGCUCGCAGUUGAAUGUCAGUAUCGAGCGCAGGUCAGGUGGACGCUGGGGCGUGGGAACACAAGGCGCGGUACGGGCCCUUGCCUCGCGCUUGUGGUACCGGCCGUGUCUCUCACAUACCCCMGUCCGUUACAAGCCUCCUCGCUCGCGUACAUAUCGGAAUUGGUCAAACGGAGUGUGCGCAGUGCUUCGCGUUUCUCGUCUUCAGGCCGCGUCCGCGCGUGUCGGUUGGUGGGGGCGUGCUGGGGCUCGCACGUUAAGCUCCUUCGGUUUCAUGGUCACCUUGAGUAAAUCAGAGUGCUCAAAGCAGUCGUAGGGGCCUUGCGCCCUGUGAACAGUCUUGACGGACUGACUUGGUUUUGCAUGGCAUGUCGGAAGACGACGUCGUGUGCUGGCUCAGAGAUUAUCAGUGGUGCAAGCCAGCCUCGACGUACUGAUUAACAGGGACGGUCGAGGGCAUUGGUAUUGCGAGGCGAGAGGUGAAAUUCUAUGACCCCCGCAAGACCUCCUGAAGCGAAAGCGUCUGCCAAGGACGUUUUCAUUAAUCAUGAACGAAAGUUAGAGGAUCGAAGGCGAUCAGAUACCGCCCUAGUUCUAACCCUAAACGAUGCCAACCAUCAAUCCGCGCGUAGCUCCCAUCUUAACGGGCUCGGCGGGCAGCUCCCCACUCACGGGAAACCAGAGUCUCUGGGUUCCGGGGGGAGUCUGGUUGCAAAGCUGAAACUUAAAGGAAUUGACGGAAAGGCACCACCAGGCGUGGAGCCUGCGGCUUAAUUUGACUCAACACGGGCCAUCUCACCAGGCCAGCACUCUUGUACGAUUGACAGAUUGAGAGCUCUUUCUCGAUUCAGUGGAUGGUGGUGCAUGGCCGUUCUUAGUUGGUGGAGUGAUCUGUCUGGUUAAUUCCGAUAACGAACGAGACUCUCCCCUGCUAACUAGUCGGCUGGAUCUUUAUCGGUGAGUUGUAUGCCGAGAAAACCUGGGUGCGGGCGCGUGGGGUUGCUGCGGUUUUACCAAGGCUCUCUCGUGCUUCGUAUCUCGGGCCUCGGGCCAUACACUCCAA